CGUAGGGUGCAAGCGUUAAUCGGAAUACUGGGCGUAAAGCGUGCGCAGGCGGUUAUAUAAGACAGUGUGAAAUCCCCGGGCUCCAACCUGGGAACUGCAUCUGUGACUGUAUAGCUAGAGUACGGUAGAGGGGGAUGGAAUUCCGCGUGUAGCAGUGAAAUGCGUAGAUAUGCGGAGGAACACCGAUGGCGAAGGCAAUCCCCUGGACCUGUACUGACGCUCAUGCACGAAAGCGUGGGGAGCAAACAGGA
rnacentral:rRNA from 1 species